rnacentral:rRNA from 1 species
UACGUAGGGUGCAAGCGUUGUCCGGAAUUAUUGGGCGUAAAGCGCGCGCAGGCGGUCCUUUAAGUCUGAUGUGAAAGCCCACGGCUCAACCGUGGAGGGUCAUUGGAAACUGGGGGACUUGAGUGCAGAAGAGGAAAGCGGAAUUCCACGUGUAGCGGUGAAAUGCGUAGAGAUGUGGAGGAACACCGAUGGCGAAGGCAGCCCCCUGGGCCAAAACUGACGCUCAGGCACGAAAGCGUGGGGAGCAAACAGG